rnacentral:misc_RNA from 1 species
CAAAUUCAGAACAGAGAGAGUGGGGAUACUUUUAGUUUCAAGUGCAGGUCUGGGUCAGAAAGGAUUCUUGGAUUUUUUUGGACAGAUUCACCGACGUGCGAUAUUGUCUUUGUGAAGACCAGUGGACUGGAGUUAUUCUCGUGCAGUUCUGGAAUAAGAUCACUUCAACUGGUAGAGACUAAGAAACUGAAUGUGAGCUGGUAUGUCUAUACACAUGAAAGUAGAUUGGUGCUUCUAGCCACGGGAAUGCAGUGCAAGAACCUUACAGGAUAUCAGAUUUCAUCCGUAGGAAUAGUCCGAUUGCCAAGGUUUGACAUGGCAAUGGCAAAAUCUGAGGCAAAUAGUAAGCCUGUCCUUGCUGCAGAGGAUGUUUAUAUCGUCACAGUUUAUGGUAGAAUUUACUGCCUGCAACUUGAUAAAAUAGCAAUGCAACUCCAUUGUUACAGAUUUUAUCGGGAUGCCGUGAUACAACAAGGUUCUUUGCCAGUUUAUUCCAACAAGAUAGCUGUCAGUGUAGUUGACAAUGUACUGCUUGUUCACCAAGUGGAUGCGAAG